AAUUCUGCCCAGUGAUUUUUUAACGGCCGCGGUAUCCUGACCGUGCAAAGGUAGCAUAAUCAUUUGCCUCUUAAUUAGAGGAUAGUAUGAAUGAAUAAACAAAACUCCUCUUUCUUAUAAUUAAUAAUAAAAUCUUACUCUUAGGUGAAGAGGCCUAAAUAAUAAAAAAAGACAAGAAGACCCUAUGAAGCUUCAUUUUAACUUAUUUUAUUUAAAUAAAUUAAAUUUUAUUGGGGCAAUAAAAAAUAACAAAAAUCAUUUUUCUCAUAAAGAUCUAUAUAUCUAACAAUAUUAACUUUCAAUUAUCUAAAAGCAAGCUACUCUAGGGAUAACAGGCUAAUAUUUUUCAAGAGUCCUUAUCAACAAAAAUGAUUGGCACCUCGAUGUUGGCUUAGG
rnacentral:rRNA from 1 species